AUUUACUUCCUCUCCCUCCUCUCCCGAGUCCCGACCUCUUAUUUCUCUCGCUCGCCUCCCUCGUCCGUGGUCCGUCGCCGCUCCAGAUCCAGCCUCCAGCCCGCCGGUGUCUUCUGCGCCGUAGUCGACGGUCAGGUCGUCGGGUAUGGUGAGGUCGUCCAUGAGAGCGGACAUGUCCUCGACACUAUAGCCGUAGCCUGCCGCGUCGUUCGCGGCCGGGAGCGCCGGUGGUAAAGACGCGGCGGCUGGGUCGGCGGCGUAGAAUGGCUGGAGGAGCUGCGUGGCGUUGUCGCCCGAGGUGUGGUCCGGGGAGAGGUAGGGCGUGACGGAGGAGCCCGACGGGAGGUCCGGGUAGGCGAAGUUGGUGCGCGCGUGGGAGCCGCGGAGGGAGCGCGCGACACGGUCGUGUCCUUGGUGGCCGGGUCCCGGAUCUCCGCCGCGUACCGGCCCCACGGCCGGCGCCGCACGCCCAGGUACCGCGUCGUGUUGGCGUCCGCCUGGGGCUGCGCCACGAGCGGACGAGCCCACGACCGCAGAACGCACCGUCGCUGCUCGCCUGCGCUGCGCUGCUCCGAUCCAAAUCCACCCCAAGGGAACAUCUACCGCCGGCCGGCUCCUGUGUCUGGCGUGUAUUGGACCACGACCAGCAGGCAGCAGCCCCGCGCACGAGCCAAGAUGCGCACGCCUAGCGCGACGACGACCGAGAGGCCGAGAUGUGCGUUUAUCAGGAACUGAGGAGGCGUGCCGUGCCUGGACCAGGCCAUACUAGGCCUUACUUCUACUCGCCAGGUCCGGUAAGGCAUGACCCGACUCUAUUUCGUGCUAGCUAGGUCUGACUAACCGAGGCCCGAAGCACGGCGGGCCCGUGCCGGCACGACCCAACUUGGAGCACUAAUGCUAACUAGAGGUGUAAACGGAUAUCUGAACUGUUAGGGUAAAUUUAAUAUUUUAAAAUAGAUAUGUAUGAAAUUUGAUGCUAAUCUCUUCUUAUGUUAUGUAGCACAUUAUUAUAAAUAAGAAUAAAAUUUUGUAUAAAUUAUUUCACACAUUAUUUGCUCUAUACAACAAAAAAUGUGAAAAAAUAUAUGUAUCAGUAUUUGAUUUGUAUCCGAAAUUUAUAUUUAUUAUUUGAGAAGAUAUAUAAUAGAUUUGAUAUUUACCUUUCAUGAAUCUUUACUAGGGAUGGCAGUUGGACCCGUGGGUAUGGAUACCCGCGGGUUUCGUACCCACCGGAUAUGGAUACGGGUACAAAAACUCACCCGUGGGUCCUAUCGGGUCGGAUACCCGAAAUACAUCGGGUCGGGUAUGGGUAAAAUACUUUACCCACGGGUAUCCAGUGGAUACCCGAAAUAUUAAUAUACCUCUUUAAAUGUGUUACAUCCACUAAAAAUGUGCUACAUUCACUAGAAAAACUCACUCGCAUGUGUUGUUGAUUAAUGAAUAUUAAUUUGUGUUGUGUUAACAGUCAACUGUAAUGUAAUCGAGACCAAUGAGACAUUGAAAAUGUUAUAACUGUCAACUGUCAUGAACUCAUUACACUUUUAUUCUCUGUACUCAAAUUUAAAUUUAUUGGAUGUGAUAAUUAUGAGUUGAGAUAUUGUAUCGACGUGUAGCCAAAUAUAGUCAUUCUCGUGUUGCAUUGGUGCUUAGAUGUAAACUAAAAUAUUUUAUGCAUUUAUUAUAACACUGACCGAGUGUUAUUUAAUGUACAAUAACAUAUCCACUGGAUACCCGAUACCCGGUGGAUACCCGAUGGGCAUGGGUACGGGUACAGUUUCUCGCCCGAUUGGCUUGGUGGGUAUGGAUAUUUGUAGAAGUCUCGGGUACAAUUUCGGGUUGGGUAUUAUUAUACCCGAACAAAACCCGACCCGCUGUCAUCCCUAAUCUUUACAAGCUCAAUACUAAAAACAAGAAUAUAAAUUUGCAUAACAGAUUAUAUAUUCUAUUAAUUCACAAUUAAAGAAAAAAACCAAAAAACUGAUAUCCGAAUAAGUAUCCGUUUACACCCCUAAUGCUAACGAUCAUUUCUCAAGCGCUGUGAGCCGCAGUAAAUUUGAAAUGAGCAAGGACAACAGAAAGGGCAGGAGGAGAGCCAACGGACCAUGUACUUCUGUACCUUUAUAAAAUUCGAUAAGCGAGCCCACGGGGCAAACAGUCACUUGUUCACAGGUCGCAGCAACUCACGUGUUCACGAGCGUCUCACUGAGCGGUGGGUCACCUCCAGCGCGAUGACAGGUGGAGCCGGUGUUUGAACGCGGCAGUGGCUACGCCGCUACGGGCCUGGCUGCUACUCACAAGUCACAAGCGAGAGGAGCAUGUCGUUUUCGUUUCAGUGCUGCUGCCUGCAAGCCAGCAAUUGCUUCUCCUUCCUCUCCCUCCCUCUCUCUUCCCGACCGUUUGCGCCACCGGAAGGUCCUGGAAGCUGGAACAUUGUGAGAUGAGGAGCAAUAGACGACGCCUUGGAGGAAGAGGAGGAGGAUGGGGUGGCCAGGGCGGUGGUGUAAGUGUGGCCGCUUCCUUCGCCGCGCUGUUGGGCUGUGUCGUGGCCCUCGUCGGCGGCGCCGCCGGGCAGGGCCCCCGGCCCCCCUCCGACUACAAAACCCUCAGCGGCGCCGCUCCACUUGUGGUGGCCAAAGGUGGAUUUUCAGGAGUGUUUCCAGAUUCUAGCCAAGGCGCCUAUUCUUUCGCGAUGAUCACCAGCGCACCGGACACGGCCAUGUGGUGCGACGUCCAACUAACAAAGGAUGGUGUUGGAGUCUGCCUUCGGGAUAUAAAUAUGAAAAACUGCACCAGUGUUGAUCAAGCCUACCCCGAGAGAAAGCGGACCUAUGUCAUCGAUGGUGUGCGGAAAACUGGAUGGUUUGUUUCAGACUUCACCAUUGCUGAGCUUCAGUCUGUUUCUCUAACACAAGCAAUUUGGCCUCGCACUAGGAGAUUCGAUGGCAUCUAUCCUAUCAUCAGUAUUACUGACUUUCGGUCCCUUGUCAUGCCAUCUCCUGUUUGGUUGAAUGUACAGCAUGACAUCUUCUACAAACAACAUGGUUUGGACAUGAGGAACUACAUACUUUCGAUCAAAAAGGGUGUAUCCAUGGAUUAUAUCUCAUCACCUGAACUGGGCUUCCUCAAAAAUAUGUCUGGAAGAGUUGGUCGCAAAACAAAGCUUGUGUUUAGAUUUCUUGAAAAGGCCCUCUUAGAUCAUUCUAUAAAUCAAACAUAUGGUUCACUGUCGAGUAACCUACCAUUUAUUAAAUCUAUUGCAUCUGGCAUAAUAGUCCCUAAGAGUUACAUUUGGCCGGUGACGAAGGAUAACUAUCUACUGCCAUCCACAUCAAUUGUCACAGAAGCCCACAAUGCAGGGCUGGAAAUAUAUGCCUCUGAUUUUGCCAAUGAUAGAAUUAUCCCCUAUAACUACAGCUAUGAUCCGUUGGCAGAAUACCUGAACUUUAUCAAUGAUGGUGGCUUCUCUGUUGAUGGUGUAUUGUCAGAACACCCAAUUACUGCAUCAGAGGCAAUUGGUUGUUUUACUAAACUGAAUUCAAAUAAGACUGAUCAUGGAGAACCCUUAGUUAUCUCACAUAAUGGUGCUAGUGGAGACUACCCGGACUGUACAGACUUGGCCUACCAUAGUGCAAUUGAUGAUGGUGCAGACAUCAUUGACUGUCCUAUUCAAGUGACAAAUGAUGGAGUUCUUAUGUGCAUGAGUUCCACUAACCUGCUUGACACUACGAAUGUUCAGAGAACAACUUACAACUCUCUGGUUUCUGUCGUUCCAGAUAUUCAGCCUCAACCAGGAAUCUUCACAUUCAACCUCACUUGGUCCGACAUUAACAGUAAUGUUUUAAAACCUAAAAUAUCUUCUCCAGUGAGUGGUUAUUUCCUUGUAAGGAACCCAAGAUACACAAAUCAAGGGAAGUUUUUGAAGUUAUCUGACUUUCUAGCAAUCGCAAUGGAUAAAGACUUGUCUGGUGUCAUGAUCAUUAUUGAGAAUGCUGCAUUUUUAGUAAAUUCAUUGGGAAUUGACAUUGUUGAUUCUUUAACCACUGCCUUAAGUGCUGCUGGCUUCGAUAAUCAUCCUACCAAGGAAGUUCUGAUCAAGUCAAAAGAUAGUGAUGUUCUUGUCAAACUGAAGCAGCAGAAAACAAAAUGCAAGCUUGUUUACACUCUACCCUCUGGCAUCGGGGAUGCUUCUAAUUCCUCGUUGAAAGACAUUAAGAAGUUUGCUGAAUAUGUAGCUGUGGACAGCAAAUCUGUUUUUACUCUAAGCUCUGACUUCAUCAUAAGACAGAACAGUCUUGUGCAAGAUCUGCAGUCAGCGGGGCUAGCUUUGUAUGCAGAGGUGUUCCAGAAUGAGUUUGUAGCACAACCAUUGGAUUUCUUCGGAGAUGAAACUGUGGAAAUCAAUUACUAUAUUCAAUCAUUUAAUUUAUCAGGCAUCAUAACUGAUUUCCCGAAGACAGUCAGAAGAUAUAAAAGAAACACCUGUACAGUUCUGGGAAAGGAUAUGCCCAGCUACAUGCAGCCUCCUCAGGCUGGUUCCCUUGCACAGUUUCUACAAACCUUCAAAACCCAGCCUCCAUCUCUGCCACCAAUGUCGACGCUGAAUUCUUCAAGCGUGGAGGAGCCACCUCUUCCUACUGUUGCGUUAAGAAGUGUAUCUGAUGGUAGUGCCUCGGGGGCGACCAAGACUCCUGGCACACCUUCUGAUGCUCCAACGGCUACAGUAAAUGCUGGCAUGCUACUUGUGAUGGUUUUCACAGCUUUGCUAAUCUGAGAAGCCACAUGAGAUUGUAUAGUAGACGACUGAAGCUAAUCUGAUCUCCCUUGGAUUCAGGAUAUCGUAUCAAAGAUUGUGCAGGUCCCGAAAAUAACUAGGAAGGCUGUCUGUGUUCUCUCAGUGUUUGGGGCCGUUCAGGAUUGCUAUCUGCUCCACUCUGCUGUCAUCUUAAAUCACAAGGGUCCUUUAGAAAUCAUUCGUGUGUUUGGAUCCAUUUUGACAUCUGAUAGUCCUGGAUUUGGGUGCUUAUCUGCGACUCUUGCUUGUGGUGAUUGUUCUCUUGUCGGUGGCAUUGCAGUUGGACCUCUCAUAGCUACAACACCGGUGCAGGGAGAAUAACGGUCCUUCUCUGUUUGAAUUGCCUCUUUAUUGACUCUGUGGGCCGAAAGGAUAAAAAAAACAAAGUGAACUUAAACGAUUAAUUUUAUUGUCCUGAUACGAUAGUGCCCCUGCAACUAUCCCAGCAAAUUCAAACAGAGCAUUUUCUUCCGCAUCAGUCCAUAUAUGUUGGUGUCGUUCAGGCUUCUAUAUAUAAAAAACCAGAGUCAAUAAAGAGGCAAUGCAUCUAAAGUCGAAAAAAAAGGAACAAACCUUCUUCGUCAUCCUCCGCUGACUAGGGAAAACUGAAGAACAGGAUCUGGUCAACCUCAGACUCCUUUGAUGAAUCUGUCACAAUUCAAUAGUUUGGUCAGUUAUAGGCUGUUUCUCAUGUUAAUAGCAUGCACAAAUAUGGUUCUCUGUAAUUGGGUGUCGUGUCUUACAACAGUAGUAAUAACCAGGCCCGGCCCCACCCUGGCCCCCCUAGCAGUCAGGGCCCCGUAUAUAUGUAUAUCAUGUAGUAUGUUCAUACUAGUAGUCCUUACUACCAGUGCGCUGCUAUUAACUGACGAGAGGCCACAAGCCAAGGACUUCAAUUUUUCUUCAUGCCA